CAGAUUAUGGGCUUCGUUAGGGCAGGACUCAUGUGUUAUCAAACACAUUUUGGAUUAUAAGCUUCACUAGAGUCACUGGCCUCUUCGUUUUACCUGGUAGUUCAUCUCUUAUCACAGUAAUUGACACAUAGUGGAUACUGUAAAGAUGUUGGUUAGCACUGAAUUUUAUAGUUCAUCAAGCAUUUUCACAUACAUUAGGAAAUUAUAAUAUUGAAUGGAAUAUUUUGGUUGUGGAAAUUCUUUGGUAAUAAUAACUAAAUCAUAACACACAGCAGUAAUUUCUUUGUGUCAUAUGUUUCAUUAAAGAUCAUG
rnacentral:lncRNA from 1 species